rnacentral:lncRNA from 1 species
UCCUUCAUGGGGUCGGCGCGGCGGCACAGGGGGGUGGUGGGGCUGCCCUUUGGCUCCGCUCUGCAGACAUGUGCUCCAGGCGCUCCGUGUAGAACCCAUUGAAGUCCAACCUGUAGAUGAUGUUAAGCAUGCUGUGCUCGCAGUCAUUGGUGCUGUAAAUGCUUAGCCGGUCCAACAGAUCCAGCAGAUGCGUUGAGAAAUUAGUAUCAAACUUGUUGAUCGUUGCUUCAAAGCCAGAUGUCAAAUGGAGGUUGUCAGCAUGCUCUGCUAAAAGCUUGCUAGUCAGCUUCUUCUUUGCGGUCUCUUCAG